GAAUUGAAUAAGAAAGCAUUGAGAAAUUGUUGACUCGGUCAAAAUCGGGUGACCUAAUUCUAAUUAGAGACCUCAAUUUAAUAUGGGAUUUUAAAAACUAGAGAGUUUAGUGUUAUAGGGAUUAUACAGGAGAAAAUGCGUCAGCGACGAGAAGUACCCUGUCGGCUACGAUGCAGGAUACCGAUAUGGUACGGCCAGUGCUUUUCCAAGAACUGAUUCCGACCAGCUCACCAAGCUGGUUUCUGAGGAACCGGUGCCGAGUCGCCUCAGCUUCAGAAUGGCAUCCACACAGCUCCUCUCACCACGCUUCAGAAUAGCAUCCACACGGCUCCUCUCAUCACUUAUCUGUUGGAGGAGAAUCAUGUCCAACUUGCUUUGCUUCUUCUACUUUUGACGGCCACAUCAUAAUCGUCGACCUGGACCUGGCCUAGCUUAUCAAAUAUAUGCGGCGCGGUGAGGCCACGAUCCGAUGAAGGUGCAAUCUUUGCUUUUCCUUCAACAUUCUCACCCAGCAAAAGUUGAGAGGAAGAGAUGCCGCGUCACAGUUGGUUCCUGUAUGAUGUUGCGGGAAUCUGCUGCAAGUAAGAAAAAUAUUUCCUUCUACUUCUUCAUUUUUCAGAUGCAUGACGCAUGUACACACACUGCGGCGCCGGCACGCGCAGCGAAGGAUGCAGAUUCUAGGAUAGAGAUAAGCUUGUCCUUUGCAUAUCUGCCUUGAUAGUUGUCACCUGGAAUGAAAAUGGGAAUAAUCACAAUGAGAGAGAAAAAGGCAUAGUGCUCUGUAGAGCAAUCUCCAGACUCCAGAGCUCAAGAAUUUUGUGAUUCUUCGUCACUUCUUUGGCUCCUCGCCUUCCCAAGGGGUAUUCUUGCUUGGCCCCUGCAAGUAGAAUGCACAAUUAGCUCUUCAGAUCAAAUCUUUGCUUCGACUACCCGUCAUGAUAUUCUGAAUCUACUAAUUCCUCAACUCGGAUCUUAAGGCCACUGGAGCUACAGCACAACCCUCCUCCCGCGACCCUUGCCUGCCGCCGCCACCCUCCUCCCAAUUUCUCUCUCUCUCUCCUCGCCGCUCCCGGAGGCUGCUGCUAGACAAGGCCACGGUGCCCAUGAUGGGGCGGCGUGGAUCUGAUCCCCAGUGGUCUCAUAGGCCACCGAUGGUGUAUCCUCCCUAGGGAGUUUGGUGGUGGUCAUUGGACCAACGAGCACGAUGGCCAGGGCGGAGUUCCCUGUUCAGGCGGCGGCGGCAGCGGUCCCCUCCAUGGCCGGAGGGUCAGCGGGGAUCGGUCUCCGGCGUGCUCUCAGGCGAUGGUUGCUGGUGGCGAUCGUGGAUCUGAUGCCAGUUCAGAUCCAUCGCGGUGUGGCCCUUGGCCGGCCGGCGGCACAUAGAAGGGUCGGUGAGGGGCGGCUGCAGGUCAUCCUCGACUGGCGUUCCGGCGGCUGCGUGCGUCUUCGGUUUGGAGGAUUUUUGUACGAAAAACAUAGGGACAAGGAUUUUGUUGGAAAAUUUUCUAUAUACGUAUUUAGUUUGUAGGAAAUGCGUACAGAAAUUUUAUAGAAAUACUACUAUUUUUCUGUGUUUUUAAAGGAAA